AGUGAACGCUGGCGGUAGGCCUAACACAUGCAAGUCGAACGGCAGCACAGUAAUAGCUUGCUCUUACGGGGUGCGAGGGGCGGACGGGUGAGGAAUACAGCUGAAUCUACUUUUUCGUGGGGGAUAACGUAGGGAAACUUACGCUAAUACCGCAUACGACCUACGUGUGAAAGCACGGGAUCUUCGGACCUUUCGCGAGUGAAUGAUCCGAUGUCGGAUUAGCUAGUUGGCGGGGUAAAGGCCCACCAAGGCGACGAUCCGUAGCUGGUCUGAGAGGAUGAUCAGCCACACUGGAACUGAGACACGGUCCAGACUCCUACGGGAGGCAGCAGUGGGGAAUAUUGGACAAUGGGCGCAAGCCUGAUCCAGCCAUACCGCGUGAGUGAAGAAGGCCUUCGGGUUGUAAAGCCCUUUUGUUAGGAAAGAAAAGCAGCAGGUUAAUCCCACGCUGUUCUGACGGUACCCAAAGAAUAAGCACCGGCUAACUUCGUG
rnacentral:rRNA from 1 species